rnacentral:rRNA from 1 species
CCUACGGGAGGCUGCAGUGAGGAAUAUUGGUCAAUGGGCGCGAGCCUGAACCAGCCAAGUCGCGUGAGGGAAGACGGUCCUAUGGAUUGUAAACCUCUUUUGUCGGGGAGCAAAAGACGCCACGCGUGGCGUUCCGAGAGUACCCGAAGAAAAAGCAUCGGCUAACUCCGUGCCAGCAGCCGCGGUAAUACGGAGGAUGCGAGCGUUAUCCGGAUGUAUUGGGGUUAAAGGGUGCGCAGGCGGAAGAUCAAGGCAGCGGUAAAAUUGAGAGGCUCAACCUCUUCGAGCCGUUGAAACUGGUUUUCUUGAGUGAGCGAGAAGUAUGCGGAAUGCGUGGUGUAGCGGUGAAAUGCAUAGAUAUCACGCAGAACUCCGAUUGCGAAGGCAGCAUACCGGCGCUCAACUGACGCUCAUGCACGAAAGUGUGGGUAUCGAACAGGAUUAGAUACCCCAGUAGUC